rnacentral:misc_RNA from 1 species
CGAGAGUCUUGACCGUUCGAAACACGUGGCGGAGGUGACAGUGGUUGGAGCGUGUUGGCGUGUGCGCUCGCGACUGCUCCGCCGCAGCCUUCUUCUAUUGCUGUCAAGUCAACGGAGAAGGAGCUGCUACGGUGCGCUUGUUUCCGUUGGCUGCAGCAGCGUCCACAUCCUCCUUUGUAGACGCACUGUCGCACACACCGACACAUAUACACCCAUACGCUUUCCGUAGCCACCCGCCGUUGCUGUCCGGCUGCGACCCCUCUUUUAGACGAGAGCCAAGAGAAAGAGCGAGCUCCCACAAGAGCGUGGCACGACGUGUUUUACUAUCCGGCACGCCUGCCAUCAUGCACGGCAUCCGCCGGUGGCGCGUGCGUCUCGUUAAUCGUGCGUGCCAGUCUCUGCCUGGUUCCCUCGCAUUUUCGGCGUGCCGGCACUGCGCGACGGUUCCGACGGAGGACGAUGUGCGCAAGGCGUACAAGGUACUUGGGGUGCACGCCUCGGCCACUUUGACCGAUGUGAAGAAGCGCUACGGAGACCUCGCCAAGGAGCAUCAUCCAGACGUGUCGAACUCCUCUGCGGCUUCUAGCACGAACCGCAUGACGGACAUUAACAACGCCUACAACACGGUGAAGCAGUUUCAUCAGGCGGGCCGGCGGCUCUUCGAGGCUACGCGCGCGCCAAACGCAAGUGGGGCAUCCGACUCCUCGCCCUCCUCCUACUACUCAAAGCAGGACAGUGCGUAUCAGCCGUGGUAUGAAGACAUGGACCCCCUCAUGUACGAGCUCAUGUGGGAAGAGAUGCGACGGCAAAACGAGGAGGACGGCUUUGUCCGAAACAUGCACGUGGAGGCGUUUUACCGCGCCAACGACCGAUGGCGACCACCGCGCGGUAAUGCCUCGGCCAGACCGCGGCAGUCGUCCGGCAGCUGUGACGGUAGGCAGUCACAUGCUGGAAAGAAGAGCUCGUCCUCCACGACCUGGCCUGAGGAGCAGGUGAAGGCGAUGGUGAACAUGUACCAAGAUGGCAAGAGCUUCGAGUUCAUUGCCAACGCCCUCGGGAAGGAGAGCGCAGCGGCGGUGUUGGAGGAGUUCAACCGGUGGAGCAGCGACAAUCAGCCGCAGCGGCGCAAAGGGGCGAAGCCGCACCACGCAAAGCGGCACCGCUAUCAUGGGGGACACGGGCCCUUCUACCAUGCCGAGUCGCCGGAUGAAGUGCCGUUUGAGCUGUAUGAGAUGAUGGAGGAGGAGCCGUACUUCGAUGGCUCUUCCGAGGAAAAUGGGGACCCGUUCGGGUACUAUCCAGGCGACGAAGAGGCGUAUGACAUGCCAUACGCACACGCGACCCCGUUCUACGGUGUACAUCAGAUGAGCGGGGGUCCCGCGCCGCAUGGGCACUUUGAGGGAGGCGUGGGCCGCGUGCACAACUCGUCGCGGAAGAUGUCGCACAGGCCCAUGCGCAACCACCGCGGUGGCCCUCCUAACAAAAACAGGCGCUACGGCGGAACUUCGAGUAACCACAAGGGAAGUGGCGGCGGCUUUCAGUCGAGUAACAGUAAGAGCCACAGCAGCGGUGGGGGCAAAGCAUGAGCCUACUUUCUUAAUGCUCUCCUCCUCUUUGGUCUCCCCCCGUGGCUGUGUGUUGGCCGCGGAGACGCGUUUUAGACACUGUGCCCAGCGGACGCUGCACUUUGGACAGUGCUGCGCCUCCCAUUUCUCCUCUCAUUGCCUGCUCAAGAAGGGGAUCGUGCGUGACGCCGCCUCUCCCUUCUACCCCGACCGCGUUGUUGUUGUCUGAGACGGCCAUCAUCGAUGAUGCUGCAGCCUCAUCACGCAUUUUUGUCACCACGUCGUGGUGUGCUUUCGGGUGCCGAUGACGGAGGGGCUGCACCGUAAAAACGUUAACAACUGACUCGAUCGUGGCCGCUGAAGCACUGCCACUCGUGUUACCAUGUGCUUGGGCAGACGUGUGCUUCCCGCCAUGGAGGUGUUUGUUUUCUGUCGCAUCUUCGCUACACUUCCGGUCAGGGGGUGGGUGGAAG